UACGGGGGGUGCGAGCGUUGUCCGGAAUCACUGGGCGUAAAGGGCGCGUAGGUGGCGUGUUAAGGGUGUGGUGAAAGCCCGGGGCUCAACCCCGGGUCUGCCAUGCCGACUGUCAGGCUAGAGUACUGUAGGGGCAGGCGGAAUUCCGGGUGUAGCGGUGGAAUGCGUAGAGAUCCGGAGGAAUACCGGUGGCGAAGGCGGCAUCCUGGACCAUUACUGACGCUGAGGCGCGAAAGCUAGGGGAGCAGACGGG
rnacentral:rRNA from 1 species